rnacentral:rRNA from 1 species
UACGUAGGGGGGCUAGCGUUGUCCGGAAUCAUUGGGCGUAAAGCGCGUGUAGGCGGUCCGGUAAGUCCGCUGUGAAAGUCGGGGGCUCAACCCUCGGAUGCCGGUGGAUACUGUCGGGCUUGAGUACGGAAGAGGCGAGUGGAAUUCCUGGUGUAGCGGUGAAAUGGCGCAGAUAUCAGGAAGAACACCCGUGGCGAAAGCGGCUCUCUGGAACGGUACUGACGCUGAGACGCGAAAGCGUGGGGAGCGAACAGG